rnacentral:misc_RNA from 1 species
GAUGAAGAACGUAGCGAAAUGCGAUAAGUAAUGUGAAUUGCAGAAUUCAGUGAAUCAUCGAAUCCUUGAACGCACAUUGCGCCCGCCAGUAUUCUGGCGGGCAUGCCUGUUCGAGCGUCAUUUCAACCAUCAAGCCCUGCUUGCGUUGGGGUCCUGCGGCUGCCCGCAGGCCCUGAAAACCAGUGGCGGGCUCGCUAGUCACACCGAGCGCAGUAAUACAUCUCGCUUUGGGCGUGCGGCGGGUUCUUGCCGUUAAACACCCCCUUUUUACCAAGGUUGACCUCGGAUCAGGUAGGAAUACCCGCUGAACUUAAGCAUAUCAAUAAGCGGAGGA